AGAGUUUGAUCCUGGCUCAGGAUUAACGCUAGCGACGUGCCUAAGGUAUGCAAGUCGAACGGUCCUGUACCGCGCGUAAGCGCUGGUACAGGAUAGUGGCAGACGGCUGAGUAACACGUGAGAAUUUACCCUGAACUCGGGCAUAGCUCACCGAAAGGUGGGGUAAUACCCGAUACGUCUUCGGAUGAAAGUUUCGAUGGUUCAGGAUGAGCUCGCGUCCUAUCAGGUUGUUGGUGGGGUAAUGGCCUACCAAGCCUAUGACGGGUAGCUGGUCUGAGAGGAUGAUCAGCCAGACUGGGACUGCGAUACGGCCCAGACUCCUACGGGAGGCAGCAACUAGGAAUCAUGCGCAAUGGACGAAAGUCUGACGCUGCGACGUCGCGUGAAGGAUGAAGGUCUUAGGAUUGUAAACUUCUUUUCUCAGGGAACAAGUUCUGAGUGUACCUGAGGAAUAAGUGCCUGCUAACCACGUGCCAGAAGCAUCGGUAAUACGUGGGGCACAAGCGUUAUCCGGAUUUACUGGGCGUAAAGAGAUACGUAGGCGUUUCAGUUAGUUUGAUGUUAAAGCCUAAUGCUCAACAUUAGAAUCGCGUCAAAUACUACUGAAAUUGAGUUGAGUAGGGAAGAGGGGAAUUCCUGGUGGAGCGGUUAAAUGCGUUGAUAUCAGGAGGAACACCGAAGGCGAAGGCACCUCUUUGGACUCAUACUGACGCUAAGGUUCGAAAGCGUGGGGAGCAAAACGGGUUAGAUACCCGUGUAGUCCACGCUGUAAACAAUCCCUGUUAGAUGUUUGGUAGUUUGCUGAAAUUUUUCUCUUCGGAGAAGGUUUAGGCUGCUGCUGAGUGUCGUAGUUAACGCGUUAAACAGGGCGCCUGGGGACUACGGCCGCAAGGCUAAAACUCAAAGGAAUUGACGG
rnacentral:rRNA from 1 species